AUAAAGAAAGUGCUCUGUGCAGAGAGGUGCACUUCUCACCCCUCCUCUCUGCCGGAGUCUGAGGUGGGGACGUGAUUACGAGAAGGAAGCUCUCUGACUUUGCCCACGGGUACUUAAGGAACUUAGGUAGGAAUUAGGUGGGGACGUGGUGCUGCACAGAGCAGCCCAUUAGUUUCUCUAUGCUUGAAUGAAGAGGAUCUCAAGCAUCUCCUCAGAGAAUCUGGGCUUUCUCAUCUAGAAGCCAUUCCAGUGUAGAGCCAAACAAAGAAACUACUUAAAGAGAGGAACAUUUGUAAGGCCUUGUAAAUCCAAAAGGCCAAAAGUCAAAGUCAUGCCCGCAAAGGAACGGAUGUCUGAAAUAACUGCCAAUGAAAUGAACAAAAAGCAGACAUAGAUCUAAUUAGCUAUUUGAGAUUAACCAUUUUUGCAGAAAUUCAAUUAAAGAUGAAGCAGCGCUACUGAAGAAAUUUUUUCAGAAGAAAUUUUUUCAUAUCAAAACAAAUGUUAUUAAGAUUUUAAUAAGAAAGUAUUGGUGAAUUAAGAUGGCUAGGAUUACUUAGUUUCCAGGAAUAAUAAUAUUUUGAAGAGCAUUAAAUUUUAAACUCAAUUAACAGAAUGAAAUCUAGAUUUAUCGAGGUUCAGUGUGCUAGGGUCUAACUAGAAAAGUUCCAUUUCAGGCCCUUUCACUGCCUAAAUUAGGAGAAAGUUUAUGAUCAGUCUAAACAGAGGUAAUCAACUUUUAGCUUCAGUCAAGCUGCAAACUCCCCCACCCCCCAAGACUUCUGGAUAAUAACUUGGUUAUAAUUAAUACAGAGAUGAAAGAGCUGACCAAGACCAAGGGCACUCUUCCCUACCAGAGCAUGGUGGACACCUGAGGACCAGAGGAAUUCUAUGGCAAAGAACUUGGGUUCUUUGAGGAGAAGGCCACUGGGUCAGGAGUCCGUGCAGCUCUUUACAGAUCUACCCUCAUCUUUGCUGAUCUGAUCGAUGCAGAAAACCAGAGCCUUGGCCUUAGGAGGUAGAGAAGAACAAGUGGGUGUACGGAUCCAAAGGGUGGUCUCGGAUGCUCCUGCUGCAGGAGAAGAGCCUCCUUGCCAUGUGCUGCUGGCCAAGCCUGAGCCCUGGGGGCCGCCCUUGUGCCCGCAGACUGUCUUACACAGGACGCCUGAUGUUGAGAGGGGAGAAGCAGGGAGCCAGUGGGAGUGAAGGGGCUUCCCACACCCUCCUCCCACAAACACAGGAAUAAGUAACUGGGGAAACUGUGGGCUUCUGCAACCUGAGGCUCAAGAUGGGCUGGCUGCUAAUUUCCUGGAUGUUGAAGAUCAGAGGAAAAGGAGAGUUUGAGGUAGGUACAGACCAUACACCCAUGUGGUCCUCUCUUCAACAUUUUUCCUAUACCUCGGAGGGUCUCUACUGAAACUACCAGCAUAUCCACUGGUUCAGGGAAGAAAAUGGUGUAAGGACACUUCCUUACUCGUCUCACUUCCCAACACAGAGCAGGCUUAACGAAUACUCGUUGCACAAAUGAACAAAGGUAAGAGCUGCUCAGGAAUCAGUGUUGUUUUCAUCCAGGUUCCCCUCUGGGGACCAAGGGGAUGGGGCUCUGGUGCAGAGGCAGUAGACCAGUCUCUGGUUUCUCCUCACUGUCUGCAGAAGAUCAGAUGCGCGCUGAAGUUCCGAGGUGCCACGCUUACCUGUAGU